GUGUCCUCCCUUUCAUUAACUGUUUUGACAUUUCUUGAGUUUGGAAUGCUUUUACUAGCUACUUUCAUCGCUCUAACUUACUGAUUUAAUGAAAAAGUAUGUUAAAUUAAUAUAAAGAUUGAUAUAGAUAAGUCUUCAUGAUUUGAAUUCUAAUGAAAAAGUGUUAAAAAAAAUCUGUUUUACAAGAUAAAGGUCAUGUGUGUUGUCUGUGAGGGGACAUUGUUAGCAACAAAACAAUUCUUAGACCUUUAUAGAGUUUACUUGAUUUCUAUUCAUUUACUUUCAAGUGUAAUUAGAAAAAUGCUAUCUAUUUUCACACUGGUGACCAGUAUUAUAUUGCAUUUUUGGUAUCAUGUUCUUUAUUUAUAUCAAACUAUGAAGAUUGUUUUUUCCAUUCAUGUAUAAAGGUAAAAUCAUAUCUGCAUAUGAGGGUAAAUACAUAAUUUAUUAAUGCUCUGAGUUUUGUUCAUUGCAUUUUUAUAUUAGUAUUGCCCAUUUAGUGGCUAUUUCCCAUUUUAAUAUGAACAUUCUGAGAGGACACUCUUUACAUUUGCAAACAUGUUGGAGUGUAAUGUAAAACUUGUCUAGUUCAUUGAAGUAUGUCAGCUAGGGAUUGGAGAGACAACCUUUAAAUAAACAAAAACCUCACAAAUUUUAUUGUAUGCUGAAAGAGAGCUAUCCCAAUAAAAAAAAAGUUUGAAAACCAGUCGGCAUAAAGUAUUGACAUAAAAC